UUUCCCCCUGUUUGUCUCCUUCCCCGGGUUAGUUCCUCGCACGAGAAGAGGCGGCCCUACACAGCUAUUAUAUACUUGUAUCUUGUAUAUCCUACGUGGAUAACUGUGGUAAUUCUAGAGCUAAUACAUGCACCAAAGCUCCGAAUUUUUGACGAGCGCAUCUAUUAGAUUAAAACCAAUCGGGUUUCGGCCCGUUUGUUGGUGACUCUGAAUAACUAUGGCUGAUCGCAUGGUCACGAACCGGCGACGUGUCUAUCAAGUGUCUGCCUUAUCAACUUUCGAUGGUAGUUUAUGUGCCUACCAUGGUUGUAACGGGUAACGGAGAAUAAGGGUUCGACUCCGGAGAGGGAGCCUGAGAAACGGCUACCACAUCCAAGGAAGGCAGCAGGCGCGCAAAUUACCCACUCUCGGCAUGAGGAGGUAGUGACGAAAAAUAACGAGACCGUUCUCUAUGAGGCCGGUUAUCGGAAUGGGUACAAUUUAAACCCGUUAACGAGGAUCUAUGAGAGGGCAAGUCUGGUGCCAGCAGCCGCGGUAAUUCCAGCUCUCAAAGUGUAUAUCGUCAUUGCUGCGGUUAAAAAGCUCGUAGUUGGAUCUGCGCCUCAGGACCUGGUCCGCCCACUGGGUGAGAACUGGGCUCCUGGGCUAGUUCUGCUGGUUUUCCCUACGUUGCCUUCAUCGGUAGCGUAGGGUGGCUAGCGAGUUUACUUUGAAAAAAUUAGAGUGCUUCACGCGGGCUUAUGUCUGAAUACUCGUGCAUGGAAUAAUAGAAUAGGAUCUCGGCUCUAUUUUGUUGGUUUUCUGAUCUGAGAUAAUGGUUAAGAGGGACGGACGGGGGCAUUCGUAUCGCUGCGUGAGAGGUGAAAUUCUUGGACCGUAGCGAGACGUCCGACUGCGAAAGCAUUUGCCAAGAAUGUCUUCAUUAAUCAAGAACGAAUGUCGGAUGU
rnacentral:rRNA from 1 species